rnacentral:misc_RNA from 1 species
GUGAAGCUCAGUCUUUUGAAUUGGGCCAAUUUUGUUUGCAGGAUUCAUUGAUUUGAAAGAAGUAAAUUUGCUCCUUAUUUUUUUCAUGUCAAAUGGAUUAGGCUUAUAAUUUCAUCCAAGGAAUUUUAAUGAUCUUUUAUAGCCUGGCAACAAGUUCUUGGUGGACAUUUUCCUUGCUUUGACUAAACAAUUUAAUUAGGGUAAUUUAAAGAACCCCUUGCGUGGUUUGUCAAAGUACAUGAGUUGGUCCCGCAUUUUUUAAAAACUCUCUAAGUGGUCCUUGACAUUAUAUUAUAUUAAACAAUGUAGUCCUUCCUUUAGGUUUUCAAGUUGUUGGAAUUGAUGAGAUUCCA